rnacentral:lncRNA from 1 species
CCUAUUCCUCACAGAACCUCUCACUUGAACUCUCCCACCGAAAUCGUGUUUCUCCUUCUUCCUCACACAACACAAAGAACCUCUCAUUUCCACUCUUGCACCGACAUUUCGUUCUCGUAGCCAUCACUCACUACCGCGUCGUCGUUCACUAUCGGUUACAUACUCUCCUACACUCUCGCGCUCCCUUCCUCUCGCUGAACUCACUCUCGCGCUUCAUCGCUCAUUCUUAGCUUGGUUAGUCGCUAUUAUAAUGACCCAAUAUAAAGCAAUUUAAAAACGACCCUUUUCUCCUAGGGUUCUUCAUCUCAAAUCAGAGUCAAAUAACAUCUUGCUCUGCUCGAGUGUGUCGUUGACCAGUAGCUGGGGUUUUUGGUUCUCGCAAAAUAUAUUCAAACUCAAGCUUACGUUGACAUUGUUAUGUUGGGUCAUGCCUUUAACNUAAUUGCAAAUUAGUUUAUAGCAAUUUGAUUUUUAUUUAGCUUUUAAGUUGUUGUAGGUUUAACUCUCUGUUGCUAUUUGAUGGAUGUUAACUACUGUUUUUAGGCCUCUUACUUCACUAUUUAUAUUUGCCCUGUUUUUGUNCCCGUGUAUAUACAUUGUAUAUUUUGGUUCCAUUUUUUCUUCAUUCAAAAUGAGUGGAAUUUGACAUAUUUACCUGUCUACUGUAGUCAUGAGUCUCCCUUUUUUUAGUCAUGGGUUGCUAUGAGAGUUUGUAAAUGGAGCGGUUGUAAGCAAUAAUUAAGUGGCUGCCAUGCUGGAAUUUUUGCUGCCAUGGUGGAAUUAAUCAAGUGGGUGAUGUUCUAAAGUGCUCACUCCUUUCAUUAUCUCUUCUCUACAUCGAUUCAAGAUUCAUACAGUUUCAAGCUUGAUUCACGGUCAUUUGCUUGUCUGUAAUUGACUUUGUUGUUUUCUGAAGUUAGUUUUACAUUGAAUUUACUUUUUUAUGCAAUCGCUUUCAUUUUCAUUGAUUAAAAUGUUCAAUACUCAACUUUGCUUUUGCACUUACGUUCUGCACCUCUAAUUUAAUUUUUGUUUUUGGUUUCCAUCUUUUAAGUUCAUUCAAUUUAGAUUGAAUAGAGAAAGGUUUCUCAUUGAAAUUCUCAAUAUAUAUACUUGUGUGAUGGUCAUUUUUGUUUUAUUGUGAGAUGCAUCCUUAUAUGCCAUUAUGGAAGCUGUGAAAGUAGGGUACCUUACUUUAGUAUUGUCUUUACUUGGACAUGACCUAUCUCUAUUAUUUUCUCACCUAAUGAAUAACUUUUGGUAAAGGAUACAUUUGGUAGAGUGAAACUUUGUUUAGGAAUAUGAAUUAUUAUAAGAGCCUCACAUUAAUUAAUUUCAUGGAGUAUUUAUUUAAAUAAUUAACUAUUCUUUCACCCUAAUAUAUUCUUUCAGUGAUUGAUAUAGAUGAUUAUUUAUCUUGUAAAUAUGAUCUUCACUGAUUGCUACUACACUUUUUUUUAAUGUUGUCGUGGGUAUAAUUAGGUUGCAUUUCCAUCUUUUAGGCCCCAAAAGGGUGAAGUUAUUUUCUAACAAGGAGAAUAUGGGAUUUAGGAAUAGUUUUUUUGGCAAAUCUCUUUGUGUCUCGGCACUUUUGUCACGAGAUUCAAUUAGUUGCUGAAUCCUUUCUAUCAAGUUCGAUUACACAUCCUUUCUCAUCUACAACUUUUAGUUUCUUCUGUUAUUAGUGCAGAACUAUUAAGUUCAUUACUAAUUGUAUUAUUAUCUUCUUCCCCUAAUUUUGUUUCUCAUCAUUGAUUUCUCUAAAACCUCAGACAUGGCAAUAAUGAUAUUGAGGUUUGUAUUGAGCUUUAUUGAUUUGAUGAUCUCAAUUCUUGCGGAUCGACAUGACAAUAGGUUUGCUUAUGUUACUUUUACCUUUGUGAAACAUGAGAAUGAUCAAUAAGGUAUGCUUAGAUAUGCAUAAACAAGUUCAAUUUUCUUCAAUGUGAUAUAUGAUUGCAGGCUAUAUAUAGGGAGAAUAUCAAAUAAAAGUAACUACAAGUGCCCUGGCCUUGUUGCUAACCAUCAGGUACAACGAAUUACGAAAAAUAUGUGUCCAAGGCCAUCUAAUUAAGGUAUUACUAUUAUAUAAUUUUAUUUCUUUGUUCCCUUUUUUCUUCAACCUGGGGUUGGGAGUAGUUUUGUUGAUUUCCCAAGCUUAUUGCCUCGUGAAGUCUGGUAAGGGACCACAAGAUCAAAAGCUAAAUCAACUCUGAAUCAAUGCUAAUAUUACCACUUCCCACCAAGGUAAUUCUUUUCAUUAUACAUAGUUGUUUGAAAAUGUUAUGUUGACAUUCAAUUAUAUUACUAAUUGACGGGAGAGAAUACUGAACCAAAGUUUUAUUGAUCAUUAUUUUGUGAGUUAUAUUUAUUGUGAGUUUUAGAAUUUAAAGUGUUAUCUUUGUCUUUGUGUAUUAUGGAAAGUUUUCCAGAAAAUUGGUUGAUAGAAUAUAUAUAUAUAUAUAUAUAUAUAUAUAUAUAUAUAUAUAUAAUAUUGUUUAUGGUGAUGAUCAAACAAUGGAUUAAUGAAAAACCAUUUUCCCCUUUUAUUAUGUGUUAAUUAAAAAAAUGUGUUUGAUUUGUUGGUUAAUUAGUCCAUAGAAGUCACCUUCAACAAUUGUCUUUCCCAGCCUCGUUUUUCCACACCCAUUCUUACGUCAUUUAAUCAAUUAGAGACUUAUAUGAUACAUCAUGGAACUUGUUUGGAAUUAAAUAAUUAAGUUACUUUUUAAUUAAAAAAAUCNUGUUCUUGCUUUCACCAAACAGUCCUCCAAUAAAGUUAUUUAAUUAUACUUCCCAUGAUAUGAAAUACCUCUGUCUCUCUUAUGUAAGCAUAUUUUUUCUACAAAAUGAUUAUAUCCACACACCCAAGUUGAAUCACCCCCAUUUGGGCCACUCAUGUGAAUCAUACCAUUCAUCCAUACCAUGUCACAAACGUCACAUGUCAUGUACAUUACAUGCAUACAUGAGUUCAAUGCUGAACAGAGAAAAGGAAAGAGAGUGUUUAUAUAUGAUAACAUGAUUGUCAGAAGUUUAUAUUAAAAGUCAACAUAGGUUACCAAAAUAGAACAUAAAAAUUAGAGUUUUACAUGAAUUAUAUUUCAGUGUAUGUUUUGAUCAAAAGAGACAAUGAGGUUUAUAUUAAAAGUCGCCAAUACUUUUAUUUGUUUUAUGCAUAUGAUGAUAUGAUGCUGCUGCUUUUUAAUGCUUCACCCAUACAUGCUGGUUAAGUAGCCACGUUUUUAAAGCAUUUAUAUUCGAUAAAGUUACAAUAAACAUAUAAGUAUGCGUAAUAUAUAAAUAUAGACAUUGUUUCUUCAUAGAUCAAGGAGGGUAGAUGUACGAUUUAUAGAUUAUUUUAAAUAAGUAAUUUAAUUGAUAGUGUUAAGUAGUAAACAUAAUUUAUGAUGACAGUGAUUUUGACAAUGUCUAAAAAAUGUGAUUUCAAUUUGGAUUUGUACCAUUUCAGUUAUAUAUUUGUUGUCUUUGAAUGAAUUUUUAUACAUUUCUAAAUAUGUAUUUUGCAGUAUCAUAUCAUCUUAGUUUCUGAACUAGUCUAUCGCCUUAACUGAUAUGCUUUGCAUGUGAUAUGCGUGUCUGUGCAUUAUACCUCCAAACAAUGGGUAGUACCAUUGAGAGUUCAUACUUCUGUCACACAUGGUUGAUUGGUAUAUGAGGUUGAAUUAUUUUAGAGAGAAGUUAAUGUGCUGGUAGUCAUAUGGUCAUGGGCUAAUGGUUUAAUUAAUGUUUUUGUUGCUGAGGUUUGGUCUGAUAUACUUGUUUAGGAAUUUUGUUGAGAUUUGGUUUGAUAUUCUUGUUUAGGAAUUUUGUUGAAAUGCCAUCAGUGAAUUGGAGAGAGUGGCUGACAACUGGUUUGGGGCGUGUUGUUACUCUUUUGGAGGAGUAAGUGAGAAGAUGGUGAUGAGGUAUGUCAGUUCAAAUACAUGCAUGCCGGGGGUCUGUCUAUUAACUUCUGCUUCUAUCACUAUUUGCAAGGAUAAUCUUGUGGAAUAUAAUUUUCCAGAAGGGGGUGGAAAGCAAGAGUGUACUUAUGUAGCAGAAAACCCGAGAGAUGAUGGUAUUCAACCCUAAAAUACUCUAAAACGACACACAUCUAGAAUCCUCUACCUGGGUGGUUGAGUUUGUUUAUGUUACUAUUAGAAUAUCAAGAAUUAAGAGACUAAUACUACAUUACUAGUAUAAAAGUAAGGGUGAUUACUCUCUAUUUUUGUAAUUUGUUUGCUUCUUUAUUAAGCUCAUCACCUUAAUUUGAUGCAUUUGUAAAACCAAUAAUAUAUAGUGAUUAAUAGUUAUUGUCCAUUGGCAUGCUAUAUCAGCUUGAGUGUUUUCUAUUUACCUUUCUAUUAUUGGUUUGCAGGAUCUUGUGGAACUGUGUAUCAUGCUAUGUGGUAUUGAUAGGUAUGUUCUUUCCUCUUCCUAUAAUUUCUGUUUUAAAUUUCAUCUUGCUUAACAUGUUUAAGUUUUUUGUAUACAUUACAUUAUUGGUUAUGUUGCAACUCAAAUCACUACCAUUUAAAGUCCUUUUUUAGUUCAAUUGAAAUUUAGCUUGUGCAUCAUCGGACAAAAAUAUAUUCAUGUUUCUGCAGGGUGUUGUUGUCAAGGUUUUCUCAAAGCAAGAAUAUUUAGAUGAUGUGCUAUUGUCCUACAGACAAGAGGUAAUGUCUAGAAGUCUAAUUUACUUGUAAUGUUAGGAAAUGAAAAAUGAGCUCAAGUUUAUCCAUAUGAUGAAGUCAACUUGUGUAUAAAGAAUGAUACAGUGACCCAUACGUAGGAGAGAAAAUUUAAUCAGACCUUAAUAGACCAUCCUCUGUGGAUUUUACCUUAAUAAAUAUUACACAAUGAGAUCAUCUUGAUUAGAUUUGGAAAACCUGAUAUACAAGACUUAACAAUACAAAACUUUUUUAUUUUAAAUUUCUUGAUUUAAUUGCAAUUUAAGUUUGUAAAGUUGAAUAUUUGAUACUAAGGGUUGUUGAUAUUAUAGUUGGAUGAGACAAAAUUGCAUAAUUAAUGUAAGAUCAAAUUACAUUGGCCAUAAUUUUGUGAAAAAAGUUGUUUGUUGUUUCUGUUUGGAGUAACUUUUACCAUCCAAUCUAAAGGUUUUGUUUCCCCCAAACAUGGGUAAUUUCACCUUCUUCUAAUGGCGAUCACCAUCUCCCUUUCCUACUCCAGUUAUAUGGCCUAUUUGUUAUCCAAUAUGAGUGAUGCCUUGCCUUUGCAUCCAAUCUACAAUAAGGUCUUUUUAUUUUUACUUGUAUGUCUACAUCUUAUUCAAUUUUUGUAGUUUAUAUUGGUUAUACAAUUUGCUUUCCUGCAUCAGGUGCUGGUUAUGUUAAUGUGAAUAGUAGAUGAUAAAAUAUUGAUUUUGGUGGGAAUCUUUCUCUGAUCUUUUCUUGCUUUUGUUGCAGGUGCUUAUUCAAUUGAAGUUGACGCCGCCAAAGCCCAUGAUUUAGUGUCAAAAAGAAUAGGGGGCAUAAAAGCAUUAACCAAUUUUCAUGUAUGUAUCAUUCAUUAUAGAUAUAUUUAUGAGUUUCAUAGUAUAGGUAGUGGUGCUUUCUUGGAACACUUUGUGUAUGGUAUUAAAUCUUUCAAUGUAAAUAAUUUGGUCGUGCAUGGUCAAUUAUUUUGAUCAAGAAAUACAUGUAUUAGUGGUGGAAUAAAAUUUGUUGUCCAGAUUUUAAUGGAGUUUGUUCUGAAUUUUAUCAAGUGUUAAUGUAUACAAAUUGUUUUAAAGUUUUGGACUUUAAAUUGUUUAAUGUAGAUCCAAUUAGUAUAUGUUUAAGAUGGUUUGUGUGUAUAUUAUGAGUAUAUAUUAAAAGCGUGGUUGUUGAUGUAAGUUUAUGCGCUGCAUAAGGAAUAAAAAAUUAGGAUAAUUUUUUUUUAUAAAACCAAAAGUUACAUACGAAUUUUAUAUACGGA